AUUAUCAUGUCCAAAGCACUCCUAGGGAGCCAACAGGGAUUUUUCCCAUUAUCCCCCAAAUAUUCUCCAGCAGGAAAUCUUGUAGCAAAAUUAAAGCUCUCUUGCAACAUUUCCAGAGUUUUCCCACUUGGGCCCAGGCAGAAACAGAGCAGGAACAACCUUGCUCAGGGAAAGAUGAGUGUUGUCUCGUGGUUGGAGCACAGGGUUUGUGGUCAGGAGCUGUGGGUUCUCAUUCCAGCUUUGCCACUGAAUCAUUUUGAGAGCUUCGCUGGUCACUUCGUAUUAGAAGCAGUUGGUAAUUUUCCAUUGGGAUGCUUUUCUGAUGGAAAACACUUCUACAAAACCAAAAUCUGGGUGAAAAUUGACUUUCCAUUGGGAAUACCUUGUGUCUAGGCAGGGUGGGAAGGGACAUUAGACCCAAACUGGAUCAUUUGGUGUUUUCUCGCAUUAAUCCACAUGUUUUGCACUGAAUAGAUAGAUCUUUUUAAGAAAUACCACCCUCCUGACUGGAAUUCCAAGUCAGCUCCAUGCACAGUGGGAGUGUGUGCUCUCAUGCUCUGCUCUGCUCCCCGGGAGGUCUGCACCUCCUCUGGUGGGAUGCCGAUUUCUCUCUUGUGAGACGUGCACAUCCCAAUCUGAGUCAGACCAGUCCAAGCAUGUGGGCACCUGGCCCAGGGGAACAAAUUGUAGUGUAAGGCUACCACGCUGACCAAGGAAGUACACCACAGAGAUUUUCCCACUUACAUGUGGCAUUUUCAAGAAUUUCUAUGCAGAAAACUUCAUCUAAACCCAAUCCAUGCACCAAAACAAUAGAAGCAGAACUUUGCACAGAGCCCCCGACCACAGAGGCUUACUGACUGCAGCUCCUCCCAGCUCAGCUUUCAGAAUCCAUCCCAGCCAUUUGCAGCUUGUGCAGCAUGCAGAAGCCCACACUGGUACUCUGGGUUGAGCA